AACGUCCAUACCAGGCUGAAUACAUGGGUCCUCGUCCUAUCACGUUAAGCAGCGUCGGGCGCGGUCAGUACUUGGAUGGGUGACCGCCUGGGAACACC